AUUGAACGCUGGCGGCAUGCCUUACACAUGCAAGUCGAACGGUAACAGGGAGCUUGCUCCGCUGACGAGUGGCGAACGGGUGAGUAAUGUAUCGGAACGUACCUUUUAGUGGGGAUAACGUAGCGAAAGUUACGCUAAUACCGCAUAUUCUCUGAGGAGGAAAGCAGGGGACCUUCGGGCCUUGCGCUAAUAGAGCGGCUGAUAUCAGAUUAGCUAGUUGGUGAGGUAAAGGCUCACCAAGGCGACGAUCUGUAGCGGGUCUGAGAGGAUGAUCCGCCACACUGGAACUGAGACACGGUCCAGACUCCUACGGGAGGCAGCAGUGGGGAAUUUUGGACAAUGGGGGCAACCCUGAUCCAGCCAUGCCGCGUGAGUGAAGAAGGCCUUCGGGUUGUAAAGCUCUUUCGGCCGGGAAAAAAUCGCAUGGGCUAAUACCCUGUGUGGAUGAUGGUACCGGAAUAAGAAGCACCGGCUAACUACGUGCCAGCCGCCGCCGUAA
rnacentral:rRNA from 1 species